GGAUAGCCUUCCGAAAGGGAGAUUAAUACCGCAUAAUAUCAUUAGAUGGCAUCAUUUAGUGAUCAAAGGAUUUAUUCGCUAUGAGAUGGACCCGCGUCGCAUUAGCUAGUUGGUAAGGUAAUGGCUUACCAAGGCGACGAUGCGUAGCCGACCUGAGAGGGUGAUCGGCCACAUUGGGACUGAGACACGGCCCAGACUCCUACGGGAGGCAGCAGUGGGGAAUAUUGCACAAUGGGGGAAACCCUGAUGCAGCAACGCCGCGUGAGUGAUGACGGUCUUCGGAUUGUAAAGCUCUGUCUUUGGGGACGAUAAUGACGGUACCCAAGGAGGAAGCCACGGCUAACUACGUGCCAGCAGCCGCGGUAAUACGUAGGUGGCGAGCGUUAUCCGGAAUUAUUGGGCGUAAAGGGAGCGUAGGCGGAUAAUUAAGUGGGAUGUGAAAUACUUAGGCUCAACCUGGGGGCUGCAUUCCAAACUGAUUAU
rnacentral:rRNA from 1 species